rnacentral:rRNA from 1 species
AUUGAACGCUGGCGGCAGGCCUAACACAUGCAAGUCGAGCGGAUGAAGGGAGCUUGCUCCUGGAUUCAGCGGCGGACGGGUGAGUAAUGCCUAGGAAUCUGCCUGGUAGUGGGGGAUAACGUCCGGAAACGGGCGCUAAUACCGCAUACGUCCUGAGGGAGAAAGUGGGGGAUCUUCGGACCUCACGCUAUCAGAUGAGCCUAGGUCGGAUUAGCUAGUUGGUGGGGUAAAGGCCUACCAAGGCGACGAUCCGUAACUGGUCUGAGAGGAUGAUCAGUCACACUGGAACUGAGACACGGUCCAGACUCCUACGGGAGGCAGCAGUGGGGAAUAUUGGACACUGGGCCAAAGCCUGAUCCAGCCAUGCCGCGUGUGUGAAGAAGGUCUUCCGAUUCUAAAGCACUUUAAGUUGGGAGGAAGGGCAGUAAGUUAAUACCUUGCUGUUUUGACGUUACCAACAGAAUAAGCACCGGCUAACUUCGUG